rnacentral:rRNA from 1 species
UUUCGCAAUGCCCGAAAGGGUGACGAAGCGACGCCGCGUGCGGGAAGAAGGCCUUCGGGUUGUAAACCGCAGUCGGGAGUUAAGAAAUGUAAGGAUGUUAAUAGCAUCUUUGCUUGACUAAGGCUCCGGAGGAAGCCACGGCUAACUCUGUGCUAGCAGCCGCGGUAAUACAGAGGCGGCAAGCGUUGUUCGGAAUUAUUGGGCGUAAAGAGCACGUAGGCGGCUGUGUAAGUCGGUUGUGAAAGCCUUCCGCUCAACGGGAGAACGGCAUCCGAUACUGCAUGGCUUGAGUGCGGGAGGGGAGAGUGGAACUUCUGGUGGAGCGGUGAAAUGCGUAGAUAUCAGAAGGAACACCGGCGGCGAAGGCGACUCUCUGGCCCGUAACUGACGCUGAGUGUGCGAAAGCUAGGGGAGCAAACGGGAUUAGAUACCCCGGUAGUCCUAGCCGUAAACGAUGGGCACUAAGUAGAGGGGUUUU